GGCCUACCAUGGUGGUAACGGGUAACGGGGUGUUAGGGCACGGCACCGGAGAGGGAGCCUGAGAAACGGCUACCACAUCCAAGGAUGGCAGCAGGCGCGCAAAUUACCCAAUCCCGACACGGGGAGGUAGUGACAAUAAAUAACAAUACGGGGCUCUUUUGGGUCUCGUAAUUGGAAUGAGUACAAUUUAAAUCUCUUAACGAGGAACAAUUGGAGGGCAAGUCUGGUGCCAGCAGCCGCGGUAAUUCCAGCUCCAAUAGCGUAUAUUAAAGUUGUUGCAGUUAAAAAGCUCGUAGUUGAAUUUCGGGGUCAGUAGGUUGGUCGUGCCUAUGGUAUGUACUGGCUUUACUGAUUCCUCCUUCUUGAAAAACUGUAAUGUCAUUAAUUUGGUGUUGCAGGGAAACAGGACUGUUACUUUGAAAAAAUUAGAGUGUUUAAAGCAGGCUAACGCUUGAAUACAUUAGCAUGGAAUAAUGAAAUAGGACGUUCGAUCCUAUUUUGUUGGUUUCUAGGAUUGACGUAAUGAUUAAUAGGGAUAGUUGGGGGCAUUAGUAUUCAAUUGUCAGAGGUGAAAUUCUUGGAUUUAUUGAAGACUAACUACUGCGAAAGCAUUUGCCAAGGAUGUUUUCAUUAAUCAAGAACGAAAGUUAUGGGAUCGAAGACGAUCAGAUACCGUCGUAGUCUUAACCAUAACUAUGCCGACUAGGGAUCGGAUGAUGUUAAUUUUUUAAUGACUCAUUCGGCGCCUUACG
rnacentral:rRNA from 1 species